rnacentral:rRNA from 1 species
AUGAAAACAGACCUGUCUUCUCUUUCUUGGGCGGGGCUCCAAAUUCAUGUAUGUUUACCAAUUAACCAAUUUCUUGACGCUAGGGUGGAUCCUAAAGAGAUGCCACUUCCUCAUGAAUUUAUCUUGAAUCGGGACCUUUUGGCUCAACUUUAUCCUAGUUUUGCCAAAGGAGCAACCCCUUUUUUCACUUUAAAUUGGUCCAAAUACGCAGAAUUUCUGACUUUUCGCGGAGGACUAGAUCUAGUAACCGGUGGUCUCUGGCUGACAGAUAUUGCGCACCAUCAUUUAGCUAUUGCUAUUCUUUUCCUAAUCGCAGGUCAUAUGUAUAGGACCAAUUGGGGUAUUGACCAUGGACUUAAAGAUAUUUUGGAGGCUCACAAGGGCCCAUUUACAGGAUAA